AACGAACGCUGGCGGCAUGCCUAACACAUGCAAGUCGAACGAGACCUUCGGGUCUAGUGGCGCACGGGUGCGUAACGCGUGGGAACCUGCCCUUAGGUUCGGAAUAACUCCCCGAAAGGGGUGCUAAUACCGGAUAAUGUCUACGGACCCAAGAUUUAUCGCCUUUGGAUGGGCCCGCGUUGGAUUAGCUAGUUGGUAGGGUAAAAGCCUACCAAGGCGACGAUCCAUAGCUGGUCUGAGAGGAUGGUCAGCCACACUGGGACUGAGACACGGCCCAGACUCCUACGGGAGGCAGCAGUGGGGAAUAUUGGACAAUGGGCGAAAGCCUGAUGCAGCAAUGCCGCGUGAGUGAUGAAGGCCUUAGGGUUGUAAAGCUCUUUUACCCGGGAUGAUAAUGACGGUACCGGGAGAAUAAGCUCCGGCUAACUCCGUG
rnacentral:rRNA from 1 species